AGUGAACGCUGGCGGUAGGCCUAACACAUGCAAGUCGAACGGCAGCACAGUAAGAGCUUGCUCUUACGGGUGGCGAGUGGCGGACGGGUGAGGAAUACAUCGGAAUCUACUUUUUCGUGGGGGAUAACGUAGGGAAACUUACGCUAAUACCGCAUACGACCUACGGGUGAAAGCAGGGGAUCUUCGGACCUUGCGCGAUUGAAUGAGCCGAUGUCGGAUUAGCUUGUUGGCGGGGUAAAGGCCCACCAGGGCGACGGUCCGUAGCUGGUCUGAGAGGAUGAUAAGCCACACUGGAACUGAGACACGGUCCAGACUCCUACGGGAGGCAGCAGUGGGGAAUAUUGGACCAUGGGCGCAAGCCUGAUCCAGCCAUACCGCGUGGGUGAAGAAGGCCUUCGGGUUGUAAAGCCCUUUUGUUGGGAAAGAAAAGCAGCAGGUUAAUACCCAGCUGUUCUGACGGUACCCAAAGAAUAAGCACCGGCUAACUUCGUG
rnacentral:rRNA from 1 species